AAUAAGGAAGAAGAAGGAGAAGAAGAAGAAGCUCAUGGUACCAACCUAAAUUGGUAGAAUUAAGGAAGUUUUUAGUUCCCCUGUUAAUUCAGAGAUAUAUAGAAAGCCUGCAUUUUUCAACCACCUUUGGCAAUUUGCUUCCAGUAGUUCAACAACUCCCCCGUGGACACCUUGGCUGCUCAUCGCUGAACGUUGUACAGGCGGCGACGCUCAGAAGAAAUGGUGAGCGGAGACGAUUACGAAAUGUUGAUACUGCCGCAGGAGUUACAGAGUGUGGACAUCAACCUGCAGUCAUUCUGGUCAAACUGAUGUUCUGCAGAGGAGGAGUGCAACACAUCCUGUUGCGACGUAGCCUGUAUCCUGUUUUCCACAGUCAGUGGUCAUGCGCGUCAUUCCCCUCUGCGAGGCUGGCACAAUCUCGUGACCCUGCACUGUGAAUCUUAUGAUACUGAAUCUAGGGAGACUCCACAUGUCUGAGAAAAACUCUGAAUGUCAGCAGAAAAAUAUGUAUAACAGCACAAUAAAUGUAUCCAGGACUGUUGAGAAAUGACUCAGACGUUGGUCUGUCUUGCUAACAGUUAAUAAGAAAGACCUCAGUAAAUACCUGUCGUUUUUUCAUUUUAUAAUCCCUAUGUUUUUGAAGUGUUAAGUAAACUGCAGCAGUGCUUCCUUCAGAAUAUGAGUAGCCUCUUAAAAUAAGUGCACACAAAGAUAGUGAUGAGAACAUUGACACCUCCACACAGCAGGCCCACAGACUUGAGGGGCCACAGUGUGUGACUGUGUAGUAAUGUAACUGUUGAGGGCUUCAGCCAUCAGCAAUGUGCAUCUUGUGAGUGCAUUCAGAGGGAAACACUGUGAAGCGCUCAGUUACACUCUGUGGUGGUACCGAACCAGAAAGCCACACUCGGUCAGCGCUACUGCAGAUUACAUGUAUGCAACUUCACAGUGUGUCACACUUCAAAACAAAUAACAACCCUGCCAAAUGUGAUUCUACUGUAUGUUUCCUUUUAUGUUUAUGAGCGUGGUCCAUACAGUAACUGCUGUUGGACACAAUAAUAUGGACACCUGCUCAGCGUGAGGCAAUCCAUUGCCUUAGCCCUUUUCUAGUUUUUCCAACCAUAGCAAGGGUUUUUUGUUUUGGCUUGGUGUUUUACAUUGGUUAGCUUAGCUUACCACAAAGAUUGGAAAUAGGGGAAAGAGCUAGCCUUGCUCUGUUCAAAAUGUGUCCAACACCUUUAAAACAGGUUUUACAUAAUUUGAGCCGGACCUAGACAUCAGCCACAACAUGCUGUUUUUACAAUUUGAUUAUUUUACUAAUGAUGACCCAUUUACAUUUUGUAAGUUAGCUUUAUAGGUGCUGGUUGACAUAUUUUGGUAACUUUAAAUGUAACUUUGAACUUUGAACUUUAAACAGAGUCACACUUGCUGUUGCCAUUAUCUCUGCUAAGCUAUGCUAAUUAUCUGCUUUGAAAAUGUUACUUACAGUGAGAUUUCAAAUAAGGCAUAGGCUAAGACAUUCUUCCUAUCACAAAUUCAAAUGUUGUAUUCACCAGAAUCAAGUCAACACACAGGCUUUGCAGCUACUUGGUCUGGCAUGACUUCAUGAAAACACUGUUUAACUGACUUUACUUGCUAGAUUGCUGACUUUAUGAUGCUUAUGCUACAUUAUGCAGUACCUGAUACUUAGCUUUUGGCAAUAGGUGCCGCUGAUCAGCAAAAGUUAGCUUUUAUUAAAUGUUAGUAAAUGUAUGUAAAUAUUAUUAGCACAACUUAGUAAAAUUAUCAUAAAAGUAGUACUCAAUGCAGAAUAAAGGACCUGGCUGUCAGCAUUGUAGUAUUGUAGUAGUAGCCAAGGUCCAGCUAAUUUUAAGUAUUUCACAUGUAUCUAGGUAGUUUAUUCUAUUUAAUUACAAUGCUUUAUAUUUACAAGCUCAUCAUAAGCAUUAUAUGUGUUAUGUAAAAUCUUAGUUUGUAUAGAAACCUUACUAUCAGUGAAGGCUAAAUCUCUAAUUAAAAGUCUAAAUAUUUCCCUCUGAAUUGUUCUGGAAUGGAGGCAUCACAUGGAAAUAGCCAAAUAAAGUACCCAAACCGUAUAGUACUGAAAUAAAUAUACUAAGUUAGACUCCACCACUGCUUACACAGUUAUACUGUCGCUGUAAAAUCCUAUGCACAUGACCAAUGGAAACAUUUUGGAAAUUAAUUCUCUGCAUGUGAUCUGUCUGGGAUUCACGCUUUUUUUUAUGACGUCGUAACUUGCAGAAAGUGAAAAGAGACCAGUUAGAGUUGAAACACACUCCGGGCUUAACAUGAAUCAGUUACUUUUAACUAUUUGUUAGAAAUGAAAAACAAGUCAGUUUGUGACAGUACUUGUUGUUGAAUUUUGGAAGUUUUGUGGAAAUAAUUUGGAUGUAAUAAAGCCAAAUGUGUUAUCCUC